CAGUAGCCACGGUAAUACGGAGGGGGCUAGCGUUGUUCGGAAUUACUGGGCGUAAAGCGCACGUAGGCGGCUUGGUAAGUUAGAGGUGAAAGCCUGGAGCUCAACUCCAGAAUUGCCUUUAAGACUGCCGAGCUAGCAGGUGAGAGAGGUAAGUGGAAUUCCGAGUGUAGAGGUGAAAUUCGUAGAUAUUCGGAAGAACACCAGUGGCGGAGGCGGCUUACUGGCUCAUACUGGACGCUGAGGUGCGAAAGCGUGGGGAGCAAACAGGAUUAGAUACCCGAGUAGUCCCUGUCUCUUAUAC
rnacentral:rRNA from 1 species